rnacentral:rRNA from 1 species
AGAGUUUGAUCAUGGCUCAGAUUGAACGCUGGCGGCGUGCCUAACACAUGCAAGUCGAGCGGUAACAGGUGUAGCAAUACAUGCUGACGAGCGGCGGACGGGUGAGCAAUGUUUGGGAAUCUGCCUAUUAGUGGGGGGACAACCCGGGGAAACUCGGGCUAAUACCGCAUACGAUCUACGGAUGAAAGCCGGGGACCGCAAGGCCUGGCGCUAAUAGAUGAGCCCAAAUCGGAUUAGCUAGUUGGUGGGGUAACGGCCUACCAAGGCGACGAUCCGUAGCUGGUUUGAGAGAACGACCAGCCACACCGGAACUGAGACACGGUCCGGACUCCUACGGGAGGCAGCAGUGGGGAAUAUUGGACAAUGGGGGCAACCCUGAUCCAGCGACGCCGCGUGGGUGAAGAAGGCCUGCGGGUUGUAAAGCCCUUUCGGUGGGGAUGAAAAGCUCCGUUUUAACACAGCGGAGUCUUGACCUAACCCAAGAAAGAAGCACCGGCUAACUCUGUGCCAGCAGCCGCGGUAAUACAGAGGGUGCGAGCGUUAAUCGGAAUUACUGGGCGUAAAGCGCACGUAGGUGGCUUUGCAAGUCGAUUGUGAAAUCCCCGGGCUUAACCUGGGAACUGCAGUCGAGACUGCUUUGCUUGAGUAUGGGAGAGGGAGGUGGAAUUUCCGGUGUAGCGGUGAAAUGCGUAGAUAUCGGAAGGAACAUCAGUGGCGAAAGCGACCUCCUGGACCAAUACUGACACUCAAGUGCGAAAGCGUGGGGAGCAAACAGGAUUAGAUACCCUAGUAGUCC